UACAGAGGUCUCAAGCGUUGUUCGGAUUCAUUGGGCGUAAAGGGUGCGUAGGUGGCGCUGUAAGUCGGGUGUGAAAUUUCGGAGCUUAACUCCGAAACUGCAUUCGAUACUGCGGUGCUUGAGGACUGGAGAGGAGACUGGAAUUCAUGGUGUAGCAGUGAAAAUGCGUAGAGAUCAUGAGGAAGACCAGUGGCGAAGGCGGGUCUCUGGACAGUUCCUGACGCUGAGGCACGAAGGGCCAGGGGGAGCAAAACGGG
rnacentral:rRNA from 1 species